rnacentral:rRNA from 1 species
GAUGAACGCUAGCAGCAGGCUUAACACAUGCAAGUCGAGGGGUAGUCUAGCAAUAGAUGAGACCGGCGCACGGGUGCGUAACGCGUAUGCAACCUACCUUUUACAGAGGGAUAGCCCAGAGAAAUUUGGAUUAAUACCUCAUAGUAUAUGUCUUUCGCAUGUUAGACAUAUUAAAGUUCCAACGGUAAAAGAUGGGCAUGCGUCCUAUUAGCUAGAUGGUAAGGUAACUGCUUACCAUGGCAACGAGAGGUAGGGGUCCUGAGAGGGAGAUCCCCCACACUGGUACUGAGACACGGACCAGACUCCUACGGGAGGCAGCAGUGAGGAAUAUUGGACAAUGGGCGCAAGCCUGAUCCAGCAAUGCCGCGUGUGUGAAGAAGGCCUUCGGGUUGUAAAGCACUUUAGCCUGGAAAGAAAAAACUUUGGUUAACACCCAAAGUCUUGACGGUACCUGCAGAAAAAGCACCGGCUAACUACGUGCCAGCAGCCGCCGUAACAC